rnacentral:rRNA from 1 species
GAUGAACGCUAGCGGGAGGCCUAACACAUGCAAGCCGAGCGGUAGAGAUCUUUCGGGAUCUUGAGAGCGGCGUACGGGUGCGGAACACGUGUGCAACCUGCCUUUAUCAGGGGGAUAGCCUUUCGAAAGGAAGAUUAAUACCCCAUAAUAUAUUGAAUGGCAUCAUUUGAUAUUGAAAACUCCGGUGGAUAGAGAUGGGCACGCGCAAGAUUAGAUAGUUGGUAGGGUAACGGCCUACCAAGUCAGUGAUCUUUAGGGGGCCUGAGAGGGUGAUCCCCCACACUGGUACUGAGACACGGACCAGACUCCUACGGGAGGCAGCAGUGAGGAAUAGUGGACAAUGGGUGAGAGCCUGAUCCAGCCAUCCCGCGUGAAGGACGACGGCCCUAUGGGUUGUAAACUUCUUUUGUAUAGGGAUAAACCUUUCCACGUGUGGAAAGCUGAAGGUACUAUACGAAUAAGCACCGGCUAACUCCGUG